CCCCAUGGACUGCAGCCAACCAGGCUCCUUCGUCCAUGGGGAUUUUCCAGGCAAGAGUACUGGAGUGGGGUGCCAUUGCCUUCUCCUGGGAUGGCUCCUUAGUCUGCUCUUAAUCUUUCAAGACUGUGAUGCUUCUGAUUUCUUACAACACCUGAUCAUUUUAUAGAUACCACUCAAUUUUGGUUUUCCUGGUUUUUCUUCUGAUGAAAUAGAACAGAUGCAUUUUUUGGCAUGAAAAUCACAGAAGCAAUGUUGUGUCUGGCUCAGUUCAUAGUAUCAUGGAGUACAUGAUAUCAGUAUGUCUCAUUACUUGUGAUAUGGACCCUGGAUUCUUGGUACAUGUGGUGUCCUUUGAGUCUCUCCUUUGCAAAGUUACUUUUAGCCAAGGCUGAUUUUUCCUUAAACUUUCACCCACUGAUGCAGCAUCCAUUUCCGCAUCUUGCCUCCUACUGUUAUUACUGUGAAGUCUGCCUCAUGGUGCUUUGUAUUUCCUUCAUUCCUUCCACAUUUAUUAACUUAGAUCUUUCCCUAAGGAAGAGCUGCCAUUCUCCACCAUUUAAGUAUUUAAUUAUUCAUUGACAUUAGUAUGGACACACGCUAGUUUGUUUUAUUCAGUGGGUCAUGAUCCAGUCCCAUGACUAUCUUCUUUGUUACUCAGAUUGUUCCGUAUUUGGCCUCCUUGGUGAUGGUCUCCAGGUGAAGCUUAUAGAUGGUCACAGAGGAUCAUAUGAUCAAAUCACUGUUAUAUAUGAAAUAGAUAAUCAACAAGGACUAACUGUGUAGCACAGGGAAGUGUGCUCAAUAUUUUGUAAUUACCUAUAAGGGAAAAUAAUCUGAAAAUAAGUGUAUUUUGGCAACCUUGAGUUUUCCCAAGGUAGGCACUUUAAGGGGAGCUAGCGCCAUGGUAGGGAUGUUAGAAACUGUUUAAGUGUUGGUUCAGGUCUUUCUAAAAAGAAUGAGGCCUAGUGGAGAAGACGCAGAGCAGGAGCCUGCCUAGCCUUUGGAUGAAGAGAGGCUCUCUGCUCCAUACCCUCUGGCUCUUUGUCCCUUUGUUGGUGUUUUUGUUUGUUUGUUUGUUUGUCUUGUUCUGUUUUGGUCUAAUUGACAAAAAAAUAUGAUUUUAUUCUGCAGACACUACAUCUCUGAAGUUUCUCAAUCUGUUUUUAAGAACAUCUGUUUUGACACAAAGGUUUUUACCUCAUCCUCAGGCGGGCAGGUUAUGACCUGUGAGUGUGUGUCCACCACAGGGACCUCUGCAGCCGUGACUCCCAUCUGCUUUCCUGGUUGCAAUUGCACAUCCCCAUGGAUGACUUGUAUCUUCAGAGCAUUUCAGUGGGUACAGUGCAUUUGUCAAAGUGAUUGAAGAGACCAAAAAUUUUCCUCUAGGAAACAUCUUUGUAAAGCACUAUGUAAAUAUGGUGUUCUAUAGAUAAUUAAAAAUCUAUCAAUAUUUGUAAAUAUAUCUAGUGUAUAUAUGUUUGUAACAUGUGUAUAUAUGCCUGUGUAGUUGAUGUUGCUUGUGUGUGUUUAUCUGCUUCUGGGUUUUAUGUACUCUGUGUAUGUUUUCUUGUACAGUCACUUGCCUGAAUUAUAAAAGACACUUUAUACUUUGUUGUAAAUUUUAAAAGGCAGAUUAUUUUCCAAGCAAGGCAGAUUAUUUUCCAAGCAAGAUACAUUGUAAAAACUUUGUGGAGUCAUUUGGACUGCUAAAUUCUCUAAGUUCCUCUCUGUUCCAAAUUCACUUUAUGUAUAAAUAACAUGUAUUCCAAAGCCACCUUAUCACAGCCUCCUAGAUGUCUUACAAAUCCUAAUGCUGCAAGUAACUUUCAACAGUACCUGUAUAAAGGUACACAGGAUACGUUAAGUUUGGCAUUUAUUAAGUCCUACAUAGGUGUUAAUUAUUAUGCAUUUCACCUAAAUCCAAACUGAUUGGCUCAUCAGUAAUAUGUAGGCAAUAAUUUUCACACAUUUCAUGUAAAUAGAGAAACAUUAAUUACUUUACUACAAACAAAGCAUACAUUCCAAGAAUCUUUUCCAAAGCAAUUACCAAUCAAUUGGCAAAACAGGAUUGGGACUCUGAAGGUGUCCAUGACUUUGAUCAACAUUCUCUAUGUAUUAGAUGGAGUAGUUCUCAACAUCGGAAGAAAAUAAGUCAGCUGUGGUUGCCCAGCCCCCAGGUCACGUGAUUCUGGUUAAAUGCGAACAGGAGGAAUUUCAACUUUUAAUCAACGUCUCCUCCGAGCUGGUAGAAGAUGUCGUUAGAGUUGAUAGUUUGAGGACUGUUAGGCUCUUUGCUUGUUGUCCAGAGGAUGCAGUUGGGGAGGGCUGCUGGGAAAGGAGGUGGAUUUGUGCGUAAAAAGUGUUAAAAAAAAAAAAAAAAAAGGUGUGAAAGCGUAAAGAGUGGCAGCCAGAGGCGCAAGCAGACACAGGGAGAUGGAGGCGUCCAGAAGGUGGUGAAGGUGAGUCACCGUGGGAUAGCAAGGCUUUGCAUCAGGAAGAGCAGAGUUCAGAUCGACAUUUAAGUCUCCAAAUCCUGUCAAUGCUGCUCAGUGGAAAAACAGUUCCCAGUUGUGACCGACUCUUUGCGACCCCGUGGGCUGUAGCAUGCC